rnacentral:lncRNA from 1 species
CCCCAAGUCACCCUUUGGUGUAACCAAUGUGUUAAGCAAAUUAUUUAAUUUCACUCAGAUUUAUAUUCCUCAUUUGUUAGAUGACAAUAACAAUAGGCACGAUGUUGUUCUAAGCAUUAAAUGAGAUCAAAUGAAGCACUUAAACUGCAUAACAUGCUAACUGCUCAGUAAGCAAUAAAUAUUUAUCUUCUAAUUUGAUUAGUGGCUGGAAAGAGACACCCAGGCAUCUCUUAACAUCACCAAGGUGGAAGACCAAGUGCCUGCAAGCUCAUUGUUGAGGUGUAUUAACUCCAUCCUAAGUCAAGGGUCCCAGUUGGCAGUACCCUACACAGAUGGAGCCUGAUCCUGUCAACCAAGCAUCCUGGCUUCCAAGGAAAAUCAAGAUGUUACUCAGCAGACAUUAUGAUUGAUGUAUGUAUAUAGGUGACUCUAUGACCAGUGUGAUUCUGCAAUCUGUACAAUUAGAAAAUGAGAAAUUAUACCCCAAUGAUACAAAUGUAUGAAUUGCCAAGAUCAUUGUAAUGUCAUGUGUAGAUAAUAAUAAUAAAAAAAAAGGUGUUACUUAGUG